UACGUAGGGGGCAAGCGUUAUCCGGAAUUACUGGGUGUAAAGGGAGCGUAAACGGUAAUGUAAGUCUGGAGUGAAAGGCGGGGGCCCAACCCCCGGACUGCUCUGGAAACUAUGUUACUAGAGUGCAGGAGAGGUAAGCGGAAUUCCUAGUGUAGCGGUGAAAUGCGUAGAUAUUAGGAGGAACACCAGUGGCGAAGGCGGCUUACUGGACUGUAACUGACGUUGAGGCUCGAAAGCGUGGGGAGCAAACAGG
rnacentral:rRNA from 1 species